rnacentral:rRNA from 1 species
UAGCUAGUUGGUGAGGUAAAGGCUCACCAAGGCGACGAUCUGUAGCGGGUCUGAGAGGAUGAUCCGCCACACUGGAACUGAGACACGGUCCAGACUCCUACGGGAGGCAGCAGUGGGGAAUUUUGGACAAUGGGGGCAACCCUGAUCCAGCCAUGCCGCGUGAGUGAAGAAGGCCUUCGGGUUGUAAAGCUCUUUCAGCCGGGAAGAAAACGCAUGGGUUAAUACCCUGUGUGGAUGACGGUACCGGAAUAAGAAGCACCGGCUAACUACGUGCCAGCAGCCGCGGUAAUACGUAGGGUGCGAGCGUUAAUCGGAAUUACUGGGCGUAAAGCGUGCGCAGGCGGUUUGUUAAGAUAGGCGUGAAAUCCCCGGGCUCAACCUGGGAACUGCGUUUAUGACUGGCAGGCUAGAGUAUGGCAGAGGGGGGUGGAAUUCCACGUGUAGCAGUGAAAUGCGUAGAGAUGUGGAGGAACACCGAUGGCGAAGGCAGCCCCCUGGGCCAAUACUGACGCUCAUGCACGAAAGCGUGGGUAGCAAACAGGAUUAGAUACCCUGGUUGUCCACGCCCUAAACGAUGUCAACUAGGUGUUGGGUGGGUAAAACCAUUUAGUACCGGAGCUAACGCGUGAAGUUGACCGCCUGGGGAGUACGGCCGCAAGGUUAAAACUCAAAGGAAUUGACGGGGACCCGCACAAGCGGUGGAUGAUGUGGAUUAAUUCGAUGCAACGCGAAAAACCUUACCUACCCUUGACAUGUCCAGGAGCUCUUAGAGAUUUGAGUGUGCCCGAAAGGGAACUGGAACACAGGUGCUGCAUGGCUGUCGUCAGCUCGUGUCGUGAGAUGUUGGGUUAAGUCCCGCAACGAGCGCAACCCUUGUCGUUAAUUGCCAUCAUUUAGUUGGGCACUUUAACGAGACUGCCGGUGACAAACCGGAGGAAGGUGGGGAUGACGUCAAGUCCUCAUGGCCCUUAUGGGUAGGGCUUCACACGUCAUACAAUGGUCGGUACAAAGUGUUGCCAACCCGCGAGGGGGAGCUAAUCCCAGAAAGCCGAUCGUAGUCCGGAUCGUAGGCUGCAACUCGCCUGCGUGAAGUCGGAAUCGCUAGUAAUCGUGGAUCAGCAUGUCACGGUGAAUACGUUCCCGGGUCUUGUACACACCGCCCGUCACACCAUGGGAGCGGGUUCCGCCAGAAGUAGGUAGCCUAACCGCAAGGAGGGCGCUUACCACGGCGGGGUUCGUGACUGGGGUGAAGUCGUAACAAGGUAGCCGUAGGGGAACCUGCGGCUG